rnacentral:rRNA from 1 species
UUUAAGGUCUGACCUGCCCAAUGAGGAUUUAAAUGGCCGCAGUAUUUUGACUGUGCAAAGGUAGCAUAAUUAUUAGUUUUUUAAUUGAAAGCUUGUAUGAAGGGUUGGACGAGAUAAAAUCUGUCUUUAUUUAAAUUAAAAUAGAAUUUAACUUUUAAGUCAAAAGGCUUAAAUAUUAGUAAAAGACGAGAAGACCCUAUAGAUCUUUAUUUGAUUAAUACUUUAAUAAUUUAGGGAUAGUUUAAUUUAAAGUUUUAAUCAAAUUUUAUUGGGGUAAUAUAAAGAUUAAACAAAUUCUUUUUAUUUAUUACAUUGAUUUAUGAAUAAAUGAUCCAAUACUAUUGAUUAUAAGAUUAAGUUACCUUAGGGAUAACAGCGUAAUUUUUUUGGAGAGCUCAUAUCGAUAAGAAAGUUUGCGACCUCGAUGUUGGAUUAAAAAUUAGCUUGGGUGCAGAAGCUCAAGAGUUUGGUCUGUUCGACCAUUAAAUUUUUACAUGAUCUGAGUUCAGACCGGCGUAAGCCAGGUCGGUUUCUAUCUUUACUUAAAUAAAAUAUUUUAGUACGAAAGGACCAAAUAUUUAAUAUAAUCAUAUUUAUUUUUUGAAUAAUAUU